AAGUCGUAACAAGGUUUCCGUAGGUGAACCUGCGGAAGGAUCAUUAACACGUAUCCAACGUUAAACAACCCUGUGAACUUUAAGUCCCCUCUUGCAGCCCAUGAGGAACAGCAAUCCCGGUAAAUCAUUGCCAAACAGUUUUGAUUCGGGACCUCUGUCCAAAAGGAGUUGCAAUCGAAGGGUGGAAGCAGUGGCAUGGCUUCCCCAAGCAGUUGGUUGCUAGAGGUCGAUCACCGACCGGCAGACAUGUCACAGGGUCACCACGCCCCUUAAUCACUCCACUUGAAAAUGCCCCGCCUAGUGGUAACGCGCUAGGUAAAAAAAACCGAACAACUGUUAACAAUGGAUAUCUUGGUUCUC
rnacentral:misc_RNA from 1 species